UGGAGGGUGGGGAUGAGAGGGAGGUGCCGAGGGGGUCCCUGCAGCAGCGAGGGCAGCUGGAGCCAGGGGGUGCUGUGCGUCGUGGGGACAACUCCUCCCGGUGACUACAGUGCGGGUUCAUAAAGGCCAGGACAAGGGCCUGGGGCCCCCGUUGUCCCCAGCAGCACUCAGCAUGGCCCAGUGCUUGGAUGGCUGCCAGUCCGGUCGUUGAGCUGUUUGUCGCUGUGAUUAGAUGCCGUUGAGUUAGCUCAACUCAUGGGGACCUUCCGUUGAACAGAACAGAACGUUGCCCGAUCCUGCGCCAUCUUCACCGUCCUUGCUAGGCUUGAGUCCUUUUUUGUGACCACUGUGUAUUUUGAGUGCCUUCUCACCCAGGGGGCUCAUCUUUCAGCGCUGUAUUGGACAAUAUUCUGUCGUGACCUAUAGAGUUUUCAUCAGCUAAUUUUUAGAAAUAGAUCGCCA